rnacentral:rRNA from 1 species
UACGGAGGGUGCGAGCGUUGUCCGGAAUCACUGGGCGUAAAGGGCGCGUAGGUGGCGCGGCAAGUCAGCGGUGAAAGCCCCCGGCUCAACUGGGGAGGGUCAUUCGAUACUGAUCGACUGGAAGGCAGGAGAGGGAAGCGGAAUUCCCGGUGUAGUGGUGAAAUGCGUAGAUAUCGGGAGGAACACCAGUGGCGAAGGCGGCUUCCUGGCCUGUUCUUGACGCUGAGGCGCGAAAGCUAGGGGAGCAAACGGG